rnacentral:rRNA from 1 species
AUUGCUCAGUAACACGUGGACAACCUGCCCUGAGGACUGGAAUAAUCCCGGGAAACUGGGGGUAAUUCCAGAUAUGUCAGAACUCCUGGAAUGGGUUCUGGCAGAAAGGCUCCGGCGCCUCAGGAUGGGUCUGCGGCCUAUCAGGGUAGUAGUGGGUGUAACGUACCUACUAGCCUACGACGGGUACGGGUUGUGAGAGCAAGAGCCCGGAGAUGGAUUCUGAGACAUGAAUCCAGGCCCUACGGGGUGCAGCAGGCGCGAAAACUUUACAAUGCGGGCAACCGCGAUAAGGGGACCUCGAGUGCUGGGUUACAAACCUGGCUGUUGGGCUGCCUAAAAAGCAGUCUAUAGCAAGGGCCGGGCAAGACCGGUGCCAGCCGCCGCGGUAACACCGGCGGCUCGAGUGGUAACCGCUGUUAUUGGGUCUAAAGGGUCUGUAGCCUGCCGGCUAAGUCUCUUGGGAAAUCUGGCAUCUCAAGUGUCAGGCUGCCAGGGGAUACUGGUCAGCUUGGGACCGGGAGAGGUGAGUGGUACCUCAGGGGUAGGGGUGAAAUCUUGUAAUCCUUGAGGGACCACCAGUGGCGAAGGCGUCUCACCAGAACGGAUCCAACGGCAAGGGACGAAAGCUAGGGGCACGAACCGGAUUAGAUACCCGGGUAGUCCUAGCCGUAAACGAUACUCGCUAGGUGUCGGCCACGGUGCGACCGUGGUCGGUGCCGUAGGGAAGCCGUGAAGCGAGCCACCUGGGAAGUACGGCCGCAAGGCUGAAACUUAAAGGAAUUGGCGGGGG